GAGUUUGAUCAUGGCUCAGGAUGAACGCUGACAGAAUGCUUAACACAUGCAAGUCUACUUGAUCCUUCGGGUGAAGGUGGCGGACGGGUGAGUAACGCGUAAAGAACUUGCCUUACAGACUGGGACAACAUUUGGAAACGAAUGCUAAUACCGGAUAUUAUGAUUGGGUCGCAUGAUCUGGUUAUGAAAGCUAUAUGCGCUGUGAGAGAGCUUUGCGUCCCAUUAGUUAGUUGGUGAGGUAACGGCUCACCAAGACGAUGAUGGGUAGCCGGCCUGAGAGGGUGUACGGCCACAAGGGGACUGAGACACGGCCCUUACUCCUACGGGAGGCAGCAGUGGGGAAUAUUGGACAAUGGACCAAAAGUCUGAUCCAGCAAUUCUGUGUGCACGAUGAAGUUUUUCGGAAUGUAAAGUGCUUUCAGUUGGGAAGAAGUCAGUGACGGUACCAACAGAAGAAGCGACGGCUAAAUACGUGCCAGCAGCCGCGGUAAUACGUAUGUCGCAAGCGUUAUCCGGAUUUAUUGGGCGUAAAGCGCGUCUAGGCGGCUUAGUAAGUCUGAUGUGAAAAUGCGGGGCUCAACCCCGUAUUGCGUUGGAAACUGCUAAACUAGAGUACUGGAGAGGUAGGCGGAACUACAAGUGUAGAGGUGAAAUUCGUAGAUAUUUGUAGGAAUGCCGAUGGGGAAGCCAGCCUACUGGACAGAUACUGACGCUAAAGCGCGAAAGCGUGGGUAGCAAACAGGAUUAGAUACCCUGGUAGUCCACGCCGUAAACGAUGAUUACUAGGUGUUGGGGGUCGAACCUCAGCGCCCAAGCUAACGCGAUAAGUAAUCCGC
rnacentral:rRNA from 1 species